ACCAGUGACCCGUGACCAGGCGGCUACAUUCGAGGGUCCUGGGGAAGCCGCGGCUAAUGAGCGUGGAUUUCCCAUGAUCCGUAACUGUAGUAUGCUAGUGAUCGUCCAAUGACAU
rnacentral:precursor_RNA from 9 species